UAUUCUCCCCAACCUUCUCCAUCAUGAGCCAUCUCGUCGUCCUCCCCAGUAUAUGAACCUCUUUCAGUUCACAAGGAAGAGGUUCUCCGUGGAUGCAGAACCGCCUUCACCUAUGGGAAUGUGAGAUAAAAUGAAGUCCAGUUAAGCCCCAAAUCAAUGAACUCCAACUUGGAUUCUUGUGCUGGUUUCUUAGAAAGGGGUAACCUCAGUGUUAGGCAUAUGGGUCGGUAGUGAAGGAAGUUGGGGAGGGUAGUUGAGCUCUCCCUGGCAAUGGCUCUGCUAGUGUUGGGUCUUUGGACAAACAGAGUGAAGAGGGUGAACAAACUGGCCUAGUAGGAGAGGUUAUAGCAAGUAUAGACAAGGAAAGGCAGGUGGAAGGAGUACCAUCACCGCUUACUCAAAAUCUUAGGGUUUAACACCAACAGAGAACGGGCAAAAAGGAGCGAAAUAUUGGGGUGAUCUGAUCUUCGGAGGUACUACAGAUGAUAACAAGUAUAAAGGUAGCAUCUACAUGUUUCUUGAAUACAUGAGCCAUGAUUAUCAAGUCUUGUCAAUCGAUUAGAUUUUUGACUCCUCGGAUCAAGGUCUCGCAGUCCAUGUGGCUAUAAUGAAAUUUUUUUUUUUUAAUUCUAGUAAUUAUUUUUUUCUCAUUUUGAACCAAGACAAUAUUUAAGUGUCCAUGCAAACACAAAGUGCAGAGAUGUUUUAAUUUAAAAAAGGCUUGUUCAUCUAAUUCCCAUGAAAUUUCUAAUGUUGAAUGUUGAGGACGUAUGAAGAGAUUAGGGAAUAAAAAUAGUUUUUUGUAUCA